rnacentral:rRNA from 1 species
ACGAACGCUGGCGGCACGCUUAACACAUGCAAGUCGAACGAGAGAAGAGAAGCUUGCUUUUCUGAUCUAGUGGCGGACGGGUGAGUAACACGUGAGCAAUCUGCCUUUCAGAGGGGGAUACCGAUUGGAAACGAUCGUUAAUACCGCAUAACAUAAUUGAACCGCAUGAUUUGAUUAUCAAAGAUUUAUCGCUGAAAGAUGAGCUCGCGUCUGAUUAGCUAGUUGGUAAGGUAACGGCUUACCAAGGCGACGAUCAGUAGCCGGACUGAGAGGUUGAUCGGCCACAUUGGGACUGAGACACGGCCCAGACUCCUACGGGAGGCAGCAGUGGGGAAUAUUGCACAAUGGAGGAAACUCUGAUGCAGCGAUGCCGCGUGAGGGAAGAAGGUUUUAGGAUUGUAAACCUCUGUCUUCAGGGACGAAAAAUGACGGUACCUGAGGAGGAAGCUCCGGCUAACUACGUGCCAGCAGCCGCGGUAAUACGUAGGGAGCGAGCGUUGUCCGGAAUUACUGGGUGUAAAGGGAGCGUAGGCGGGAUCGCAAGUCAGAUGUGAAAACUAUGGGCUUAACCCAUAAACUGCAUUUGAAACUGUGGUUCUUGAGUGAAGUAGAGGUAAGCGGAAUUCCUAGUGUAGCGGUGAAAUGCGUAGAUAUUAGGAGGAACAUCAGUGGCGAAGGCGGCUUACUGGGCUUUAACUGACGCUGAGGCUCGAAAGCGUGGGGAGCAAACAGGAUUAGAUACCAUGGUAGUCCACGCCGUAAACGAUGAUUACUAGGUGUGGGGGGACUGACCCCUUCCGUGCCGCAGCAAACGCAAUAAGUAAUCCACCUGGGGAGUACGACCGCAAGGUUGAAACUCAAAGGAAUUGACGGGGGCCCGCACAAGCAGUGGAGUAUGUGGUUUAAUUCGAAGCAACGCGAAGAACCUUACCAGGUCUUGACAUCGUAUGCAUAGCUCAGAGAUGAGUGAAAUCUCUUCGGAGACAUAUAGACAGGUGGUGCAUGGUUGUCGUCAGCUCGUGUCGUGAGAUGUUGGGUUAAGUCCCGCAACGAGCGCAACCCUUACUGUUAGUUGCUACGCAAGAGCACUCUAGCAGGACUGCCGUUGACAAAACGGAGGAAGGUGGGGAUGACGUCAAAUCAUCAUGCCCCUUAUGACCUGGGCCUCACACGUACUACAAUGGCUGUCAACAGAGGGAAGCAAAGCCGCGAGGUGGAGCAAACCCCUAAAAGCAGUCUUAGUUCGGAUUGUAGGCUGCAACCCGCCUACAUGAAGUCGGAAUUGCUAGUAAUCGCAGAUCAGCAUGCUGCGGUGAAUACGUUCCCGGGCCUUGUACACACCGCCCGUCACGCCAUGGGAGUCGGUAACACCCGAAGCCUGUAGUCUAACCGCAAGGAGGACGCAGUCGAAGGUGGGAUUGAUGGCUGGGGUG